rfam:Salmo salar isolate Sally breed double haploid chromosome ssa20, whole genome shotgun sequence.
UGCAUUCACUAUUUUAAGUCGCUCUGGAUAAGAGCGUCUGCUAAAUGACUAAAA